rnacentral:rRNA from 1 species
CCCUUAGAUGUUCUGGGCCGCACGCGCGCUACACUGACGGAUUCAACGAGCUUACAACCUUUGCCGAAAGGUCUGGGUAAUCUCCAAAAUCCGUCGUGAUGGGGAUAGAUUAUUGCAAUUAUUAAUCUUCAACGAGGAAUGCCUAGUAAGCGCAAGUCAUCAGCUUGCGUUGAUUACGUCCCUGCCCUUUGUACACACCGCCCGUCGCUCCUACCGACUGAAUGGUCCGGUGAAGCGUUUGGACUAUGGUUUUCUGAUGGUCCGCCGUUGGAUUACCGUGGGAAGUUCGUUAAACCUUAUCAUUUAGAGGAAGGAGAAGUCGUAACA